AGAAAAUAUGCUGUGUAAAACAGUGACAUCUCUAAUUAUAUUAUAUAAAAUUUAUUAUUUCGACGACCUCUUACCUAUAUAGUACACAUUCCGAACACGAGUGUUAUAAAUACAUUGUCACGGUCUCCGAGUUUUUGGGUCAGGACACCUAUCGGAAGGGGGAGAGUGUUAAACGGGUCGACAAAAAAAUCCCCAAAGGGUUAAUAUACCCUAAUGAUCGCGUAACUUUCGGUGGCAUACAUCUGACCAAGCUUUACAGGUCACAAGAAUUACUGCACCUGUGGCGAAGAGUGGCCAUGUUACACGAACUCCACUCGAACCGCUAAAUCCCGUAACCUCCCUUAAAUCCCAAAUUACUUUCAAUAAUUACGAGUUGUUGACACAUCCUCAAUUUUCUCGUGCGUAUUUGUGAACGCCACAAUUGUGGUUAAAAAUAUUACCUUGUUCGUUAUUUU